ensembl:miRNA
AAAAGUUCAUUGGGGUUUUCCAUAACAUUGUGCAGAAAAACCUGAAUGAACCUUUUGA